rnacentral:lncRNA from 10 species
AGCCAAUCUAUUAGUUGAAUGCUCCUGAAGCUUUCAUCAAAGGGUUUGGGGAAAGAAAAGCAACCAGAGACUCUAAGGAAAAAAUAUAUAAACAAGUAUAAACUCAUACUUAUCUGAAAACUGGGACUUUAAACUUGCAGGCAGUGGCUUCCUACAUCAGAGGAUCUUUAGGGAACCACCAGCAGAAAGUUCCUCCCUGUGGCCUGACACGUUUUGCCCAGGACAUUCAGGGGGUGAAUGGAAUGAUAGCAGGUGGUGGGAGGGGUUCAGCCCAGCAGGACAUCACCAGGACAGAUCCAGAGGGGUGUGUGCAGACCCCUCCAGAAGGCCUCAUUGCUGCUGCCCUGCAGCUCCCAGUCCAGAGGGUGGGGGUCUGAAGACAUAAGCAGGAUGUCACCUCCACGUAAUUACUCUGCUGUGAGUGACUCCAGGGGUGCCCUCAGUCCGAUUCGGGUGGUGGCAUUUAAGAGAGGAAGUAGGGGAACCCUAGUCAAUAUUCCCUUGAUCUCUGCUUGUGUGUACACUGGCAAGGAGGAAUGUGUGGAUUUCCAGCAGCAGGAAACAAACCGUUUUCAUAGCUGAGUGUGUGGGGGUGGAGUGUUUCUAAAGCCUAGUUAUCUCAUGUGUCUGUCUUCUGAGGCCCUAACUGAGAUUUUAUGGCAAACUUUCAAGGUACUAAUGCCUAAGAAGUAACAGGAGACAAGGAGACAUCGGCUCUCAGUAGUGAAGGGAACAUCCUGUCAUGCAACAACCAAGGGACAUAGGCCAGAAUAACGCGGUUUCCAGUUAACACAUGGGAAAAUCAUUGCAAAUCCGUGACAGCCUUGGCACCUACUCUUGAAGAGGUGGGUGUCUGAGACUCAUGGAACCCUAGAGGCAGCCAACACCUCAGGCAUCACAGUGCCUUCAUUUUCUAGUGAGCUGACGAUCAGUGUCGAGACUCUGACCCGGCCUCCAGACUCAGAUUCCAGGGCUUCUUCCCCUCUGCUGCGCUGCUGGAAUCCACAGCCCCAGCUGGUGCCCCAGCCAUCAGAAUAUCUGCCCUUUUCUCCAGGAGAGAGACUGAACUCCAUGCAAACAUUAGCCAAACACAAGCCAUGUCCUGGAAGGCAUGCUGAGAGCUGGCAGAGAGGGGAAGGUGAGAGAUGGAAGCGCCUGGCCCUGGGUAGAUAUAGCAGGAGCACAGGCAGGGCCAUGGAUGUACCCAAUCUGGGGACCAUCGCAGGGAGCCCUGGACUUCAUGAACAGGAGGACUCUGGUCCUGCUUCCUAGGACGACCUUAAAGAAACAUCAGCCUGAAGACUUUGGGACCAUCCCAGGCCCAGCCAGGAGUUGAGACAUGAGGACUUUCUGGGCACAAAAGUUAAAAAUUGAACUUGCACCAUCGCCUGAGUCAGCUUUGCUGUGUGCCCUUCUAUCUGGAGCACUUAUGUUGCACAACUCCAGGGAGCAGCAUUUCCAUAGAACACAGUGUCAAUCCCAUCACUUUCAUUCUUUCUCUUUAACCAGAAAGA